GUGGGGAAUAUUGGACAAUGGGCGAAAGCCUGAUCCAGCCAUGCCGCGUGUGUGAAGAAGGUCUUCGGAUUGUAAAGCACUUUAAGUUGGGAGGAAGGGCAGUAAGUUAAUACCUUGCUGUUUUGACGUUACCGACAGAAUAAGCACCGGCUAACUUCGUGCCAGCAGCCGCGGUAAUACGAAGGGUGCAAGCGUUAAUCGGAAUUACUGGGCGUAAAGCGCGCGUAGGUGGUUUUGUAAGUUGGAGGUGAAAUCCCCGGGCUCAACCUGGGAACUGCCUCCAAAACUGCAUGACUAGAGUACGGUAGAGGGUAGUGGAAUUUCCUGUGUAGCGGUGAAAUGCGUAGAUAUAGGAAGGAACACCAGUGGCGAAGGCGACUACCUGGACUGAUACUGACACUGAGGUGCGAAAGCGUGGGGAGCAAACAGGAUUAGAAACCCCGGUAGCC
rnacentral:rRNA from 1 species